rnacentral:rRNA from 1 species
UCCGGUUGAUCCUGCCRGACCCGGCUGCUAUCAGAGUGAGAUUAAGCCAUGCGAGUCAACGUAUGAAUAAUACGUGGCGAACGGCUCAGUAACACGUAGUCAACAUGCCCAGAGGACGUGGAUAACCUCGGGAAACUGAGGAUAAAUCGCGAUAGGUCAUAAUUACUGGAAUGUGUUAUGGCCCAAAUCUAUAUGGCCUCUGGAUUGGACUGCGGCCGAUCAGGCUGUUGGUGAGGUAAUGGCCCACCAAACCUUUUACCGGUACGGGCUCUGAGAGGAGGAGCCCGGAGAUGGGCACUGAGACAAGGGCCCAGGCCCUAUGGGGCGCAGCAGGCGCGAAACCUCUGCAAUAGGCGAAAGCCUGACAGGGUUACUCUGAGUGAUUCCCGCUAAGGGAAUCUUUUGGCAUCUCUAAAAAUGGUGCAGAAUAAGGGGUGGGCAAGUCUGGUGUCAGCCGCCGCGGUAAUACCAGCACCCCGAGUGGUCGGGACGAUUAUUGGGCCUAAAGCAUCCGUAGCCGGUCUUGCAAGUCUUCCGUUAAAUCCAGCUGCUUAACAGAUGGGCUGCGGAGGAUACUACAAGGCUAGGAGGCGGGAGAGGCAAGCGGUACUCAGUGGGUAGGGGUAAAAUCCUCUGAUCCUUUGAAGACCACCAGUGGCGAAGGCGGCUUGCCAGAACGCGCUCGACGGUGAGGGAUGAAAGCUGGGGGAGCAAACCGGAUUAGAUACCCGGGUAGUCCCAGCUGUAAACGAUGCAGACUCGGUGAUGGGCCGGCUUUAUGCCGGCUCAGUGCCGCAGGGAAGCCGUUAAGUCUGCCGCCUGGGGAGUACGGUCGCAAGACUGAAACUUAAAGGAAUUGGCGGGGGAGCACCACAAGGGGUGAAGCCUGCGGUUCAAUUGGAUUCAACGCCGGRA